rnacentral:rRNA from 1 species
GAUGAACGCUGGCGGCGUGCCUAAUACAUGCAAGUCGAGCGAACGGACGAGAAGCUUGCUUCUCUGAUGUUAGCGGCGGACGGGUGAGUAACACGUGGAUAACCUACCUAUAAGACUGGGAUAACUUCGGGAAACCGGAGCUAAUACCGGAUAAUAUUUUGAACCGCAUGGUUCAAAAGUGAAAGACGGUCUUGCUGUCACUUAUAGAUGGAUCCGCGCUGCAUUAGCUAGUUGGUAAGGUAACGGCUUACCAAGGCAACGAUGCAUAGCCGACCUGAGAGGGUGAUCGGCCACACUGGAACUGAGACACGGUCCAGACUCCUACGGGAGGCAGCAGUAGGGAAUCUUCCGCAAUGGGCGAAAGCCUGACGGAGCAACGCCGCGUGAGUGAUGAAGGUCUUCGGAUCGUAAAACUCUGUUAUUAGGGAAGAACAUAUGUGUAAGUAACUGUGCACAUCUUGACGGUACCUAAUCAGAAAGCCACGGCUAACUACGUGCCAGCAGCCGCGGUAAUACGUAGGUGGCAAGCGUUAUCCGGAAUUUGGGCGUAAGCGCGCGUAGGCGGUUUUUUAGUCUGAUGUGAAAGCCCACGGCUCAACCGUGGAGGGUCAUUGGAAACUGGAAAACUUGAGUGCAGAAGAGGAAAGUGGAAUUCCAUGUGUAGCGGUGAAAUGUGCAGAGAUAUGGAGGAACACCAGUGGCGAAGGCGACUUUCUGGUCUGUAACUGACGCUGAUGUGCGAAAGCGUGGGGAUCAAACAGGAUUAGAUACCCUGGUAGUCCACGCCGUAAACGAUGAGUGCUAAGUGUUAGGGGGUUUCCGCCCCUUAGUGCUGCAGCUAACGCAUUAAGCACUCCGCCUGGGGAGUACGACCGCAAGGUUGAAACUCAAAGGAAUUGACGGGGACCCGCACAAGCGGUGGAGCAUGUGGUUUAAUUCGAAGCAACGCGAAGAACCUUACCAAAUCUUGACAUCCUUUGACAACUCUAGAGAUAGAGCUUUCCCCUUCGGGGGACAAAGUGACAGGUGGUGCAUGGUUGUCGUCAGCUCGUGUCGUGAGAUGUUGGGUUAAGUCCUGCAACGAGCGCAACCCUUAAGCUUAGUUGCCAUCAUUAAGUUGGGCACUCUAAGUUGACUGCCGGUGACAAACCGGAGGAAGGUGGGGAUGACGUCAAAUCAUCAUGCCCCUUAUGAUUUGGGCUACACACGUGCUACAAUGGACAAUACAAAGGGCAGCGAAACCGUGAGGUCAAGCAAAUCCCAUAAAGUUGUUCUCAGUUCGGAUUGUAGUCUGCAACUCGACUACAUGAAGCUGGAAUCGCUAGUAAUCGUAGAUCAGCAUGCUACGGUGAAUACGUUCCCGGGUCU